rnacentral:rRNA from 1 species
GUAGGGAAUUUUCGGCAAUGGGCGCAAGCCUGACCGAGCAACGCCGCGUGAGGGAAGAAGGUCUUCGGAUCGUAAACCUUUGUCUUUGGGGACGAUAAUGACGGUACCCAAGGAGGAAGCCACGGCUAACUACGUGCCAGCAGCCGCGGUAAUACGUAGGUGGCAAGCGUUGUCCGGAAUUACUGGGCGUAAAGGGCGUGUAGGCGGUAGAUUAAGUCAGACGUGAAAACUCAGGGCUCAACCUUGAGAUUGCGUUUGAAACUGAUAGACUAGAGGAUCGGAGAGGGCAGUGGAAUUCCCAGUGUAGCGGUGAAAUGCGUAGAUAUUGGGAGGAACACCAGUGGCGAAGGCGACUGCCUGGACGACACCUGACGCUGAGGCGCGAAAGCCAGGGGAGCAAACGGGAUUAGAAACCCCAGUAGUCC